GGUAUCAAACCUGCAUCCCCUGCAUUGGAAGGCAAAUUCUUGACUACUGGACCACCAGGGAAGCUCAGAAAGUGCUUGUUAAGGGAAAAAAGAAUAAAGUCUCCAGGAUCAGAUAGCAGACAACCAGUGGAAAUCUCUGUUCUGCUACCUUCCAGCUGAGCAUCUUCGGAUACAUUGGGUGUGUGACCCUCUCCUGUGACACUGCCUUGGGAUGACAAGGGUAAAUAGCCAACACACACACAAAAGUUCUACCCAGACACUCAUUCAGGUUUUCUUUUUUUCUCCCUUCCGCACCCAUUCUGUUUUUUACUUUCAGGACAAUAUUCAAUAAAUUGUAUGCUAUAUUC
ensembl:lncRNA